rnacentral:hammerhead_ribozyme from 2 species
AGAGGCCGUUACCUACAGCUGAUGAGCUCCAAAAAGAGCGAAACCACUUGGUUCUGUAGUACGGGGCCUGUAUGCUU